CACGUAGGGGGCGAGCGUUGUCCGGAUUCAUUGGGCGUAAAGGGCGCGCAGGCGGCCCGGAAAGUCGGAUGUGAAAACUCGGGGCUCAACCCCGAGCGUGCGCCCGAUACUGCCGGGCUUGAGGCAGGUAGGGGAGAUCGGAAUUCCUGGUGUAGCGGUGAAAUGCGCAGAUAUCAGGAGGAACACCGGUGGCGAAGGCGGAUCUCUGGGCCUGUCCUGACGCUGAGGCGCGAAAGCUAGGGGAGCGAACAGG
rnacentral:rRNA from 1 species